rnacentral:lncRNA from 1 species
GCCGUGGAAGGACUGGCGUGUUCCCUAACUCGCCCCUCACUCAUGCUGUAGAGUUGAACAAUAGUUAAAUAUUUAAAGAUUUGGCCAAGCAGCAGCCCGGCUGGGAUGUGUCCAGUGAACCUUGGUAGCAGGGGGAAAUGCUGCCACGCUGUGGGAAAGAGGUUCCGUUGUUUGUUUUUCAUUUAAGAGCCUAACUUACUUCACAAAGGAAUGGUCGAUACUUGCCCCAAAGUAAACUGUCAAUAAUUAAACUGUCAGGGCAUAGAGAUCGCAAUACAUAAAUAAAGGACUUCAAAAAGUCAACAAGCAGAAAGGGGUGCGUUAAAUGGGUCUCCUAAUCUACAGGGACGGAAAGAUUAGCUCUGGUUUGGUUGGUGCUCAAAUUUUGUGAUUGCUUGCCUGAACUACUUGCUCUGUUUGACUGCCUCUGGCGAAUGUUGCAAGACCUCCUCGCUGUUGUGUGCCAAAUAAAGCAAGUUUUUAUUCCUGAGAGACUGUGAGCGUUCCCUUUGAGGAGCAAGCCGAGACAUGUAUGAGUAGUUAGAGUAUAACAACAGUAACCAUUAUUUACCAAGGAGCAGACUUUGGCAGCUAAUCUAAGGAUCUAAAAUACUGCUACCCGGGUAUAUGCUAAUGGCUGCAUAUUGUAAUGGCAGCCGUGGUUUUCUUAUUCUUGUGUGAAAGCCUGAAGGAUUGCUUAAAACCUGUACAAACAAGCGUACCCAUAACCGGCUUGUAUCCAUAACCGGCUUGUAUCCGUGACAUGUUCACUUCAGUAGAUGGUUCCUCACAAGUUCUGCCUCCCAGUGUGUUGCUCUGUUUUAUCUCUAAAGGACCCAGGGUCCCCGCAAGUCUUGGGAAUAAAAGGAAGCAGUACCGUAAGGAAGGAACUGAGGAGGGGGUGCACCAGCCUAAUCGUGCACAGUACACACACUUACAACGGAGAGAAAGAAAGCAGCAAGCUUCUUUGGCUAUUGGAGACCUAGCCUUCACACUCAGAUUUUAGGGCUCUCUCUUCUGGUGUAUUAGGCAGGCCUGUGCAAGCCCAAGAACAGCAUAGAGGUUGCCAUGGAGGACAGCCUUACUGGGGCCUGCAUUACCUUAACCAAAGAUGAUAAGUAAGAUAGGCUCCCAAACCAUGGGCUGACUGUUCCAUGGCGAGGUCAGCUUUCUAGUCUCUGUACUGAUGCCCCUACAGCACUCAUUCUCUCUGAGCCUUUUCCUCCCGUAUAUCUAGAGGGCAUUCUAGUUGACCUCUGAUCAUUCGGGCCCCUUCAGAUCAGUAAAUUAGUGUAUCUGGCCAGUCCCCUAGCUCUUUAUCCUUUCUGGGAGAGGGAGUAGUCACGGGUUUGUUUGAAAGACUCUUGCUAUGUAGCCCAGACUCUACCUGAGCUCUGGGUCAUUGUGGUCCACUCUCUUAAGUAAUGGGAUGGUGGGCGGUCACCACCACCGUUGUCUUAACUUGGAUUUUAUUCUCCCAAAUGUCCCAAAUGCAUUAUGAGAUAACAACUAAUACGUUCUGCCUUGUUCUUAAGAAGCAGAUUUUAGCCAGGUGUAACCCCGAGACUUGAGAGGUGAAGACAGGAAGAUGAACAACCUUGGUAGGCGUACAGUGAGUUUGAACCAUUCUGGGCUACUUGAGACCCUGUCUCAGAGAAGAGGUAGGGUGUUAAGGUAGUUCCCAUGGAGAGCAGACUAGGAAAAGCUGUGUGUGCAGGAUUAAAGCAGCCCACAUAGCAGCUCUGAAGCCAAGGAACAGCUGCACAAUAUUUGUUAUUGCACAAAGCCUUUAAAAAAUUGUUCGUUUGCUUUUCUCUUGUAAGGUAAUUCCUGGUAGACUUGUCAUUCCUUAGUUUCUAAAGUCUUUUUUUUUUUUAAUGUUUGUAAGUACAAAGUUAAGUCUCACUCUAACCAUGUGUCAAUGAAAGGCAUGUACCCUGAAUAAGAUUCUGUUGUUGUAAUAAUGUUAUUUGCUCUGAUUAAAAGAUGCUGAAAGG